AAUCAACGCUGGCGGCGUGCCUCAGACAUGCAAGUCGAACGCGAAAUUUCCCUUCGGGGAGAAAGUAGAGUGGCGCACGGGUGAGUAACACGUAGGUAAUUUGCCUUUGGGUGGGGAAUAACUCAGGGAAACUUGAGCUAAUACCGCAUAAUGCAGCGGCUCGACAUCGAGACAGUUGUUAAAGCGGGGGAUUGGAGCAAUCCGACCUCGCGCCUAAAGAGAAGCCUGCGGCAGAUUAGCUAGUUGGUAAGGUAAUGGCUUACCAAGGCGACGAUCUGUAACCGGCCUGAGAGGGCGGUCGGUCACACUGACACUGACAUACGGGUCAGACUCCUACGGGAGGCAGCAGUCGGGAAUUUUGGGCAAUGGGCGCAAGCCUGACCCAGCAACGCCGCGUGAAGGAUGAAAUUUUUCGGAAUGUAAACUUCGCAAGAACAGAAGAAUAAGUGUGGGACAAUACCCCACAUGAUGACGGUACUGUUUGUAAGCUCCGGCUAACUCCGU
rnacentral:rRNA from 1 species